UACGAAGGGGGCUAGCGUUGCUCGGAAUUAUUGGGCGUAAAGAGCUCGUAGGCGGUUUGUCGCGUCUGCCGUGAAAGUCCGGGGCUUAACCCCGGAUCUGCGGUGGGUACGGGCAGACUAGAGUGCAGUAGGGGAGACUGGAAUUCCUGGUGUAGCGGUGAAAUGCGCAGAUAUCAGGAGGAACACCGAUGGCGAAGGCAGGUCUCUGGGCUGUAACUGACGCUGAGGAGCGAAAGCAUGGGGAGCGAACAGG
rnacentral:rRNA from 1 species